AACGAACGCUGGCGGCAGGCUUAACACAUGCAAGUCGAGCGCCCCGCAAGGGGAGCGGCAGACGGGUGAGUAACGCGUGGGAACGUACCCUUUGCUACGGAAUAACUCAGGGAAACUUGUGCUAAUACCGUAUGUGCCCUUCGGGGGAAAGACUUAUCGGCAAAGGAUCGGCCCGCGUUGGAUUAGCUAAUUGGUGGGGUAAAGGCCUACCAAGGCGACGAUCCAUAGCUGGUCUGAGAGUAUGAUCAGCCACACUGGGACUGAGACACGGCCCAGACUCCUACGGGAGGCAGCAGUGGGGAAUAUUGGACAAUGGGCGCAAGCCUGAUCCAGCCAUGCCGCGUGAGUGAUGAAGGCCCUAGGGUUGUAAAGCUCUUUCACCGGUGAAGAUAAUGACGGUAACCGGAGAAGAAGCCCCGGCUAACUUCGUGCCAGCCGCCGCAGUAACAC
rnacentral:rRNA from 1 species